AGUGUUGACUUUGUCAAAGAAGUUCGUAUAUUCAAUCUUGCCUUCUUCGGAGGGCUAUGGUGCUAAACGACUGUGAUGAAGCGGUAAGGAAGGGGUCUUCAAGUGAUCCCCACCUCCACCAUAAGUAUACCUCAGGGUGACUUGGACUACCGGAGCGAGUGGCAUAAGCAAGAGCUACGCGUGGUGGUCAACAGGAAAUCCUAGCUCGAAAUGCGAAGGGGUAUAUUUAUGAUGGGGGUGCAAGGGUUCGACUUGCUGAUGGAGUUAGGUUUUGUACUCGGCAUGAUACCGCCGUUAUCGGGUCAAAAGUGUAGUUGCAAACGACAACAACGCUAAGGCUUUCGCUCUCGCUGCCUGAUGGCGGUGCGGGUUAGCCGCUCCAAGUCCUCCUGGUUAGCACCUUGAGGCGGGGUCCCUGGGUACCUGGCAACAGAAACCCAGGAAU
rnacentral:tmRNA from 1 species